GCAAAUGAUAAUGGCCAUAACAACAACAACAAUAAGAUCAAUAACAAUGAUAAUAAAAAAAUAAAAAUAAUAAAUUUAAAAAAAAGAACAGUUUAGUUAGCGAUAUUGAUGAGACCGGUAGAGAAAUUAGAACAAAUUAACAAAAAAGUUAUAAAAACAAAUUUUAACAAAAAACAACAAACCUAAAAACGUGAUAAAUUCUAAACAAAAAAAUUAAAAAUAUUUAAAACAAGUUUAUUCAGACGCGUGUUAAUUUUUUGUAUCAAACUGUAAAAAAGAUUAAUAAAAAAAUUAAAAAAUGUGUAAAAUAAAAAAAGAACGUAAACAAAUUAAAAAAAAAUACUUUUUUUUAGUUAACAAAAUGUAACUAAUAACAAAUUGUAAACUUACAAAAAGCAUUACUACUUAAUUAGUAUUUUAAAUUAUAAAUAAUUGUUGUAAAUUUUAAUUAAAAUAUUCAGCUUUUUUUUUAAGUAGCAACGACUACAACAAUUUGAAGGUCUUUGUUUGUUUGAUAUUUUUUCUGAAAAGUACUAAAAUAUUUAACCACUUUUGUUUAAACAUAAAGUGAAUCAAGAGUUUAAUGAGAACCAUUAUAAAGUUUGGUCUAACAACCUGUAAGAUCGACGGAAAUUC